GAGACUCAGACUCUCUGGACCAGGCUAAUGUACCGGAGUCUGGUAGGACCAGGCUAACUUACCAGAGCCUGGUAGGACUAGGCUUACGUACCAGAGACUGG